CCUACGGGAGGCAGCAGUGAGGAAUAUUGGUCAAUGGGCGCGAGUCUGAACCAGCCAAGUAGCGUGAAGGAUGACUGCCCUACGGGUUGUAACCUUCUUUUAUAAAGGAAUAAAACGAGGCACGUGUGCCUUUUUGCAUGUACUUUAUGAAUAAGGAUCGGCUAAAUCCGUGCCAGCAGCCGCGGUAAUACGGAGGAUCCGAGCGUUAUCCGGAUUUAUUGGGUUUAAAGGGAGCGUAGAUGGGUUGUUAAGUCAGUUGUGAAAGUUUGCGGCUCAACCGUAAAAUUGCAAUUGAUACUGGCAGUCUUGAGUACAGUAGAGGUAGGCGGAAUUCGUGGUGUAGCGGUGAAAUGCUUAGAUAUCACGAAGAACCCCGAUUGCGAAGGCAGCUCACUAAACUGUGACUGACAUUGAUGCUCGAAAGUGUGGGUAUCAAACAGGAUUAGAUACCCGGGUAGUC
rnacentral:rRNA from 1 species